UUUUAAGCUAUUAAAUAAAUGUUCGAUUUAAUGAGUAUAUAUAAUUUUUGGAUUACAUAUUCUCUUACAACUAAAAUUAUAAUUUGUUAACAUGUUUUAUAUUAAAAUUCGAAUUCUAUUUAUUAAUAAACAAGACCAUGAUUAAAUCAAGCAGGAAAACCUAUACAGAUUAAUUACCCGGGUUCUUUCUCUUAGUCUAUUGAUUGAUUAAAACAUUAUACAACCAGGGCAUAUACAUCAUGCAUUAAAACAAGAACAGGGCUUGAAAUGAAAUUUAGACUUGCCAUUACGUCCCAAGAUAUGCAAGAACUGUGGAUCAUCUAGAUUACAGUGCCGCUUGGAAUCAAGGCGUCCUUGAUUACAGUAACAAUUCCACUCUUUAUGAAAUAUCCAUCAGUUUCUCUCGCUGCUUCUUGCACAUUGUCACCAUUAAUGAUCUUCACAUCGGCUCCAAUUCGAGCAUUUUUGUCAAUAAUGGCUCUCUUAAUAUGAGAAUUCUUGCCAAUACCAAUUGGAACACUACCCUUUGCUGCCAGAAACCUCCUGUCAGCAUCAGUCUCAUAAUAAUCUGCUCCCAUUAAUAAUGUGUCCUCUAUGACUGCACCUUCUGAUAUGCAGGAUCGAAGCCCAACCACUGAGUGGUGAAUUUUACAGUUCUUUAUAACACAACCCUCACCAAUAACACUAUCUGUAACAUCAGCAUCAAGCAUCUUGGAUGGAGGCAAAUAGCGAGGUUGAGUAUAGAUUGGAGAUGAACGAUCAUAGAAGCUGAAAUCUGGCACUGGCUUUUUAGUUAUCCCAAGAUUGGCAUUAUAAAAUGCCUCAAUUGUACCAAUAUCUUCCCAGUAGCCAUCAUAUAAGUAAGCUUGCACCUAUAAAGGUUAUUGAGCAAUUAGAAUUCAAGAGAUUGAUUCACAAGUUUGUAAGGCAAACUUUCAGCCCAAUGGAUCUAUGUGAUGUACCAAAAGGGACUUUUCAGUCCUUUCUAAAACAAAAAGUUUGUUCAAGAUGCAAAUAUAUAAGGAAAUAACAUUACAGCUUCACAAAUGAAUAUGAAUUUGGACUUCUACACACUCAUCACACAAGUCAACCUCAGGCAUCCAUUUGCAAGUUAAUACAACUGAAGGUGUGCUAUAAAGCCCAUAUAUGCAACUGCUAGAGUUAGGCAAUAUAGAUUCAACAUAUAUAAAUGGCAAUUUUUUGUAUUACGAUUUCCUUAUUCAGACUAUGUUUACAUGUAUGCCUAUAGGCCACAAGAAUAACUGACUAUUCUUUACACAAACCUAUGAGAAGCAUAAAUGGAGAUAUUGAAUGAAGAAUGCUUACUCUCAUCCCAAUGGAAGUAGCACCAGGAAUAACUUCACUUCCAAAAUCAUUGGCUCCAGGAAAUUUCUCUCUCAGAAGAUCUAACAUUGCAUUUUUGCUGACGACAUAUAUCCCCAUACUAGCAAUGUAAGGCAUCUCUUUUGCUCUCUCAUCAUCAAGACCUAAAAUUGUAGUAUCAAUCUUCAUUGCUUUCAAUUGCUCCCCUUUUGGCUUCUCAGCAAAUUCAAUUAUGCGCCCUUCUUCAUCAAUUUUCAUCAGACCAAAGGCAGUUGCACGUUUUUCAUCCAUUGGUAGAGCAGCUACAGUGAUAUCUGCAUCAGUUUCUCUGUGUGCUUGGAUAAACCUUUCAUAAUCCAUCCGAUAUAAAUGAUCCCCUGCAAGAAUCAAGAAUUCCAGAACAUUGUGCUCCUCAAAUAACCACAAAUACUGUCUGACAGCAUCAGCUGUGCCCUGGAACCAAUUUGGGUUCUCUGGGCUCUGCUGAGCUGCAAGAACUUCAACAAAACCUUCAUUCUUGUAGCCACCCAUGUUGCUUGCAUAAGCCCGUGAAAGGUGGCGAUUGAGAGAUGCAGAGUUGAAUUGCGUAAGAACAUAAAUCUUUGAUAUAUUACUGUUCAAGCAGUUGCUAACAGGAAUAUCAAUCAGCCUGUAAUUUGCUCCUAAAGGAACAGCAGGUUUUGCCCUCUUCUUGGUAAGUGGGUAAAGGCGGGUCCCAGCACCACCUCCAAGAAUAAUUCCCAAGACACUUCUGCUAGCGUCAGGGUCAAGACAAGUUUGCGAAUUCCUGGAAUCAGAAACUGCCUUAGGAGAAACGACCAUCGGAGUCCUCUCAUUAUAAGCAAUUCCACGGCAAGCAGAAAAAAUCUUGGAAUAAAUCUUAUCACCUGAUAGACUAGACGAGGAGAAGGAGAGGCUUCGGAGAGGCGUUCUCCGGUUGAGAUUCGACGAAUUGGACGAUGAAGAAGAGGAAGUCGAAGACGUCGGAAGUCUCAGAACUCCGAUCGCCGCCAUACUGGCCAAAUGUAAAUUCAGAUUUUCACAAAACAAAAUAAAAUGUGAAUCUUCUAUCUAUUGCUCUCACAGGCACACACUCUCUUCACUGAAGAAGAGCAGGAGAAUGUGGCGUCAUGUGCUUGAUUCAUGUGGACGAUCUGAUUUUGGGAACCGUUUUGUCCAAUCGUUUUGUAUGAAUUUACGGGUUAGUUAGCGUGCUGUGGCGGGGCCGUGAGCGAAGCAGACAGGGGCAUUUUGGGAAAAGAAAUUGGUUAU
rnacentral:misc_RNA from 1 species